GGGGAUAUAGCUCAGAGGUUAGAGCGUUCGCAUCGCAAGUGAAAGGCUUCGGGUUCGAUUCCCGAUAUCUCCA